AAGUUCUUAAGUUAAACUAAACUAUUAGCCUUCAAAGCUAAAAAUGAAUAAAGUAUUUAGAACUUA
rnacentral:tRNA from 1 species